UCCAGAUUCUUUGUUUUCUGUAUUAGUCACCACAUUUCUAAACAAGGAAAAUGUGUACUGCCUAGACUGCCUGCAGGAGUUUCUGGAACUAAAGUACAUGCUAUGAACAGUAGGAAGUACUUGAAGUAAACCUAAGCAAGAGUUUUCCCCACUCAGAAUUGAUGGAUGUGGACCUAAGAGGCAUAAUCAAUAAAUAUGAAGUAAAAGAAUAGGACGUCUAUGCUACUUGCAUCACCACAAUGAUGUUUGUAAGGAAGCAAUGAACAGUACCAGCUUCUACUAGCAGGCAACAUGUUGUAAGUGGGCCUAUGCAGUUUGAACAAGGAACUGAGUAAAUUCUGAAAAGGUA